rnacentral:rRNA from 1 species
UACGUAGGGUGCGAGCGUUGUCCGGAAUUAUUGGGCGUAAAGAGCUCGUAGGCGGCUUGUCGCGUCGGAUGUGAAAGCCCGGGGCUUAACUCCGGGUCUGCAUUCGAUACGGGCAGGCUAGAGUUCGGUAGGGGAGAUCGGAAUUCCUGGUGUAGCGGUGAAAUGCGCAGAUAUCAGGAGGAACACCGGUGGCGAAGGCGGAUCUCUGGGCCGUAACUGACGCUGAGGAGCGAAAGCAUGGGGAGCGAACAGG